ensembl:lincRNA linc-137 ncRNA
CGAUUUCUAUAGGAUAGGAAAACAUCUUUUUCAUUUUUUUUUUUGAAAUUGAAAGUAUUUCGAUUUUUUAUGAAAAAAUUUAAUAUUUUUUGAAAUCGGAAAAAUUCGAAUUUUUG